CGAGUGGCGAACGGGUGAGUAACGCGUGAGGAACCUGCCUCAAAGAGGGGGACAACAGUUGGAAACGACUGCUAAUACCGCAUAAGCGCACAGUACCGCAUGGUACGGUGUGAAAAACUCCGGUGGUAUGAGAUGGACCCGCGUCUGAUUAGGUAGUUGGUGGGGUAACGGCCUACCAAGCCGACGAUCAGUAGCCGACCUGAGAGGGUGACCGGCCACAUUGGGACUGAGACACGGCCCAA
rnacentral:rRNA from 1 species